rnacentral:rRNA from 1 species
UCGGGAAUUUUGGGCAAUGGGCGAAAGCCUGACCCAGCAACGCCGCGUGAAGGAUGAAGUAUUUCGGUAUGUAAACUUCGAAAGAAUGGGAAGAAUAAAUGACGGUACCAUUUAUAAGCUCCAGCUAACUACGUGCCAGCAGCCGCGGUAAUACGUAGGUGGCAAGCGUUGUCCGGAUUUAUUGGGUUUAAAGGGUGCGUAGGCGGCCUAUUAAGUCAGUUCUGAAAUAUCCCGGCUUAACCGGGAGGGUGGGAUUGAUACUGAUGGGCUUGAGUGGACUCGAGGUAGGCGGAAUUGACGGUGUAGCGGUGAAAUGCUUAGAUAUCGUCAAGAACACCGAUAGUGUAGACAGCUUACUAGAUUUCAACUGACGCUGAGGCACGAAAGUGUGGGGAUCAAA